rnacentral:rRNA from 1 species
UACAGAGGGUGCAAGCGUUAUUCGGAAUUAUUGGGCGUAAAGGGCGCGUAGGCGGCUUGGCAAGUGGAAGGUGAAAUCCCUCGGCUUAACCGAGGAACUGCCCUCCAAACUGCUUCGCUUGAGACCGGGAGAGGUGAGUGGAAUUCCCAGUGUAGCGGUGAAAUGCGUAGAUAUUGGGAGGAACACCAGUGGCGAAGGCGGCUCACUGGACCGGUACUGACGCUGAUGCGCGAAAGCGUGGGGAGCAAACAGG